rnacentral:lncRNA from 1 species
UUUUUUUUGUAUUUUUUUUAGUGGAGACGAAGUUUCACCAUCUUGGCCAAGCUGGUCUUGAACUCCUGACCUCGUGAUCCACCCUUAUCACCCUCCGAAAGUCCUGUCACUACAGGAGUGAGCUACCGUGCCUUGCCUCCUCUUCCCUUUUCUUUGUCUUCAAGUGUUCAGGCGACAUGGCGCUGGCCAGGUAGAGACCCCAUCUGCAUAAUAAAAGAUUAGGGUGGGAUGGCCAGCCUCUUCAUGCAUCACAUAAAUGGCACACCUGGUCCAACCAAUCUGAGCCCUAUGUAAAUCAGACACUGCCUCAUCAAGCUCAUCUAUAAAACCUACCAUAACUCACCCAAAACCUAGAAACCCGCUCAGGCACCUUUCCAAUGCAUAGGGAACUCUCUCUUCUUUCUUUUGCCUAUUAACCUUCCACUCUUAAACCCACUCCUUUUGUGUCUACAUCUUCAAUUUCCAUAUUGUGAGACAAAAAACCUCUGGCAUUUACCCAAAUGAUUCUGCGUCACUGCCAUCUCUAGCACAAGUGCCGAAAAUGACCACUUUAGCCUGAUGAGUGCCACGGCGGCUACCAUGCUGCUUAGGACAAGCAAAGAUAAGAAGAUGGAGUCGGGAAUGGUUUAUCAGAGAAGCCGCAAUAAAAGCAUGUCCCAGGCAACUUUCCACUUCUUAACUUCUGUCAUUUUCAAACUUAAAGGUGUUUAUUUUUGUGUGUUUGUUGUUGUUCUUUUUGUUGUUUUUAACAGUUUCUAUCAAAGACUUCUCAUGGUUUUCUUGCUAUGACAUAUUUAUCGUUUCUUCUAAAGUCCUUUCCAACAUUUCCUACAGGAACUUAAAAGACAUGUGUUUGGUUCACACCUUGAUCCCCUCUCCACCUAAAAUUCUUUUUACUUUCUCCCAGGAAGAUUCUACCCCUCCUAUUCUGCCAGUUCCCUCAUAUUUGCCUCAAACGGUUACCCCUGUAGGCAGAUGAACCUGGGGCAAUUCUACUUUACUAUGGACACCAGCUCCUCUGAAAUAACAUCUGAGUCUUGGGAUGUGCAUAUGAAUCUUCCCUUGACACAGCAAACAGUCUUUCCUUUUACCUUCACUAAAGGCAUCCACUUGGGAGAAUGGACAGCACUAAAAUUCCACAGAUUUCAAAAACCAAACGUGCUGUGCCUUUCUAGAGAUCUUGGAAUGAAGAUGAGAAAGUAGGUUAGAAGGGAUAAUUUCCUCCUUCCUUUGUCAAUGUGAAGGACCUCCUAUUUUUAAAGGGAAAAAUUGGGGACAGUCCAAAAGAAACUCUUGGAAAUCAAGCCUUGCCAUGCCACCACGAGAAGGGUAACCUGUGUGCCCAGGGGUGAAAUUUUUAAAUUUUUGUAAUGGUGUUCAGGGUCACCCCUAUGGAUAACAAAAAUAUUUAAAAACCUAUACCUGUGCCAACCUUUCAGAACCAUGUCUCUUCGCAAGGACCUACCAGGGCUUAGAGAUCAUAGCACCACACUGGCAGCCUACAGGCAAUCUCCAAAGGCUCCCAUCUGCCCCAACCAACACACACACACACACACACACACACACACACACACACACACAC